rnacentral:rRNA from 1 species
AUGAAAGAAAUGUACUCUGCAUCUGCAGUGGAGCGGGUGCAGGACACGGAGCAGCAUCUCAACCAACCAACCGGGGCGGGGGCGGAUCGGCGGGUGGCUCAAUCAGCCGCGGCAGCGCGUGAUGGCGGAGCAGCCGCGGGAGUAGGGGUUGGCCUGGCCGCCGGGGCGGCAGUUGUAGUAGGAGGUGCCGCGCAGGGAGCAGGGCACGUUGUCCCUCCGCAGCGCGCCGUAGCUGAUGUAGCCGUUGCCGCUCUGCAGCACGCGCCGCGCCACCGCCUCGUCGCCGCCGGCGCCCGCGAAGAAGGGGAAAGUGGAACGGGGGGAUGGGGGAUGCUCUGCUUGCUUUCUUGGGUGCGGGUGUGGGGUUUGGUGCUUGUGCUUGGCCUCUGCCACCGGCAAAUGGGUUUAUACUAG